UACGGAGGGUGCGAGCGUUGUCCGGAAUCACUGGGCGUAAAGGGCGCGUAGGUGGCGCGACAAGUCAACGGUGAAAGCUCGGCGCUCAACGCCGAGUCGGCCGUCGAUACUGUUGGGCUUGAGCACUGUAGAGGCUAUGGAAUUCCGGGUGUAGCGGUGGAAUGCGUAGAGAUCCGGAAGAACACCGGUGGCGAAGGCGGUCUGCUGGGCAGUGCUGGACACUGAGGCGCGACAGCGUGGGGAGCAAACAGG
rnacentral:rRNA from 1 species